UACAGAGGGGGCAAGCGUUGUUCGGAAUUACUGGGCGUAAAGGGCGCGUAGGCGGCCUGUUAAGUCAGACGUGAAAUCCCUCGGCUCAACCGGGGAACUGCGUCUGAUACUGGCGGGCUUGAGUUCGGGAGAGGGGUGUGGAAUUCCAGGUGUAGCGGUGAAAUGCGUAGAUAUCUGGAGGAACACCGGUGGCGAAGGCGGCAUCCUGGACCGACAUUGACGCUGAGGCGCGAAAGCCAGGGGAGCAAACGGG
rnacentral:rRNA from 1 species